GGGGAGCCUGGUCGACCUGGCUCGGACCUCAGCCACACAGCUGAGGGACUGCGUCAGGGGACCGAGGCUCUCC
rfam:Mustela putorius furo unplaced genomic scaffold scaffold00066, whole genome shotgun sequence.